CUAGAUCAUGUGGUGUUUACAUCAGCUUAAUAUGUUUGUCAAAUGUGUGAAGGAUUAGGGGUUAUUAUUAUUGACUUUGUAUGUCUGGUACUUUGAGUGCAUCGUAUGAUAGAAUGAAAUGUAAGUUUCUGAACUACAGUAGAUGAAGACUUAUAUUAUGUGUAGGUUAUCCUUACUAGUUGGAUAUUUUUCUUAGUUGAGAUGUUGAAUGAAGUAUAGUGACAUGGGUUAAGCAAGUAUUGUGUUGUUGUUGGGCUAUCAGUGUUCUAUGUAGAGUUUUUGGCAUUUCUUCGAUGAACUAUGCCGCACAAGAUGUUAUUGGCUUCUUUUGGCUUUAUUGCUCCAUUAGUUCUAUAGAUUUUCUCCCUUUUGGUGGGGUGCAAGGAAUGUUAGAUUACAUGAUUAUCUUUUCAUGAUGGCAAGAAUAAGGUUUAGGAAGAUUAGGAGUUUUGUUCCAAUAGAACUACUUGUUUCAUAGUGCUUUAAGGUGAGGUGUUUGAUCUUCUUAUACAUUCGUCGGGUGUAGAUGUUUCACCAUUUAAUUAAAAUUAAUGGUUGAAGUUGGUAAGGGUUGUGCUUGGUGCAUAUUACCCCUUCAUAAAAGAGUGUUGUCUUAAGACAUUGAUGUUGAUGUAUAGCUGCAUCCAAAUUUGAUGGUGUGAAAUUGGAGUGUUGAUUGCAACUAUGACAUGCUUUGAGCUUCAUUACAUGUUGUUUCAUGCUUGAUGUCAGGUCAUGUAGUUUCCUUAGACAAUUAGUCCAAGGUAGAAGUUCUUGUGUUAAUUAAGACCAAUAAUGGACCCAUGUUUUGAAUUGUGGUGCUAUAUGGGGUACCUUGGGUGUUUUGCUUGGAGUGGCCGAAUUCGAGGUCGAAUUCUUUUUAAGGGGGGUAGAGUGUAAUAUCCCAAAAAAAUGUUGACCAAAAGUUAAUCUCUGGUGCGUGGAUGAGGUAAAGGGUUGUGGGCCAUUGGAUGCAAAGAUAGAAGUCAUCUGAGGCGUCGUUUCUUUCUCCCACAAAAACCCUAGGUGGCCACCCCUUUUUUUUCCCUUCACUCCCCUCUUGGCCGCCACCCCCUUUUUCUCCCCCUUGGCUGGACGCCCCCUCCCCCUAUGGCAUCCAUCCUCCGUUGCUUUCUCCCCCAAGAUCUCCCCCUACGCAGCAAGGAUCGAGAAAAGGAGGGGCACGUUGAAUUGAAGAGGAAGAGAGGAUCAAGGAGAUGUUCUUCCCCAUCUCCUCUUGAAGAUUUCUUGGGGAAACCCUAGGUAUGGAUGAGAUCCUUGUUCCUCCCUGUAAUUAUAGGCUUUUGGAGGUUGUGGAUCAUGGGAAUUAAAGGAUUAGAGGUUGAAUUUGAUGUGGGGUUAGGUUUUGAUCUCGAAUUUAGUUUUCUGCAGAAUGGCAGAUUCGACAGUUUCUGUUCAUGCCAGUUUUCCGUGGUCUUAGUGGACUCAAAAAAAUAAAAAGUCUAUGUAUGAGUCGUAGAUAAUUUGUAGAUCGUUCCGUGGCCGCGAAGAACACCUCAAUCGGACAUCCGACCAGAAAGUUAUUGCAGUUUUACUAUAGCAGUUUUUCAGUCUCAUAAUUCUGUGCAGAAUCUGUUCUCUUAAGAUUUAGGCAAUUUUAUCAACAGAAUUAAACUGUGGGUUGGUAAAAGAAGUUGUAGAUAAUUUUAUAAGCUUUCCAGAUUGUUAAAGAGUGCAUUCAUAUGAUUUGUGAAACUCCAGUUAUGUUUGUUUUACUGUGGCUGUUCCUGUUUACCUGACAAAAAUGAGUGGGUCUGUUUACUGGUGGGUUUCAUCUAGUAAAUGGCCGAAUUGGCUCUUCUAACUAUGGAGACUUUUGUAGAGGGAUAAAAGUUCUUACUUCCAGCAGAAUUUCAUAAUUUUUGGUUCAGCAGUUUUGGAGAUAUCGAAUUUUAAAGUUAACCAUACUGCUGUCUAAAACAGAUUCAGUCAGUUAUCUUGUCAGAUGUUUUAGAACUUGUAGAUGACAGAAUUUAAUUAUCUAUUGAAUAUUGAAGUUGUAGAGUAUUUUGUGUAGAUACUCCUAGAGUAUUUGUUUGAUAUCACCGCUGUUUUAAUUUUAAAGAUACAAAAUUAACAAACAGCGUUGCUGCUGUAUGGCAUGUGGUUCAGGGUGGGAGUCUUUCCACUGGGUCUUGGUUUCAAGUGUAGGAGUGUUUUGUUGAUUGAUGGCAAAUGUUUGUGAAAUAUUUGUACUAAGUUUUAUGCCCACUAGCAGGUGGCUACACUCCAGAUCAUGUCUAGUACAUUUCUUCUUCCUCGAUGAAGGCAAGUGAAUGUAGCGGUGGUUGCUUCCGUUCUGACCUGUUAUUUCUAUCGCCUACACUCUAAUAUUCAGAAGUAUCAGAUUCUUUCAUAAUUGGACUCUAUGGUGAUGCUUUACUUGCUUGCAUUAUACUGAUGCUCAAUCAUAUAUUGAUGAUGACUAUGAUUUGAGUAUGACUCAUGAGAUUAAUUCACACCCCUGAAGGUAAAUGAAGUAUUAUUUGAGGUUGGUAUUGUAUCUGAAGGUAAAUGAAGUAUUAUUUGAGGUUUGUGUUGUAUCUGAAGGAAGUGAAGUUUAUUGAUAAAUGUAGCAUGCCAUAUACAUUGCAUGACUCAUUUGCAUAUGAAGUUUUGUCGUGACCUAUGGUCCGACCGUACCGGUACAACUUAGCAUCGUACGUUGCCCGAGAAGGGGUACGAUGCGGCUUCAUACCCUUAGAGGUAUGAAGGCAGAGGACAUAUGCAUUGCAUUCAUAUGCAUUCAUUGAAGUGAUAUUUGCAGAUGAUGUGGUUUUAUACCCCCAGAGGUAUGAAGAUAGAGUACCUACACAUUGCAUUCCUAUGCAUACAUUGAAAUGAUAUUUGCAGGUAUUGUUGACGCAGGGAAGUGUUAUAGAACCUAUUGUGGUUGUUCGAGGAAAUGAGAUGGUAUUGGUUAUAGUGGGACUACUGAGUUCUAUAUCUACAAGCAUUUCUGAUUUUUAAUUGUGACUCUUUUAAAAUGUUGAUGAAUUCAAUUUGUGGUUUAAAUAUCUCGUCAGAACAAUUAGCUUGCUGAGAUGUUUCAUCUCACUCUUGCAUUACUCAAUGCAGGUGCUUGUUGCUCAUCAAGGGGAGUGGGAAGUAGCAGCACAUCCACCUUCAUUCUCAUAAUAAUGCUGCCCAGACGCAGCCAUGAUUUAAUUAGAAACUUCUU
rnacentral:lncRNA from 1 species